rnacentral:lncRNA from 1 species
GAGUUUGACAGCCUAUCAGGCUGGGAAUGGGAGCAGAGCUCAGAAGCCCAGCUUCUGUCCCAGCUUCUGAUUCUCUUCAUUCUCCUCCAUUUCCUACAUCCGAGAUACAUUUCUACAAGAGAGUCAAAUGAUCAAGUCCCAGGGCAGACUGGAUUAUUCUGAAAAGAUGAUAGCAGGGAGGCAGAUGCAACCUCAUUUCCCAAGGGAAGGAACACGCAGCCCAGGAAGAGAACACAAAGCUCGAACCCAUGUAAAACAGCUGGAUUCAGGAAGAUGGCUCAGGGAUAAAGACACUUUCUGCCAAACUUGAUGACCUAAAUUCCAUUCCCAGGCCCCACACGGUAGGAGAGAACUGACUCCCCCAAGUUGUCCUCUGACAUCCACAUCAGUGCUACGGUCUACACCUCCCCCUCAAAAGAAAUUGUGUAGCAGUGACACGCAUCUGCAAUCACAGCUCUUCUGCAGCCUGGAAACUCCAGGGCCAGCCAGCCUGGAGUGCUCCCGAGCCACAGAAACAAAAAGCCUGCUGCCUCAACAAGGCAGUGGAAGAGAACCGAGUCCACGUGCAAGCCACAACAGCGCUGGGUGAACAAGACUCACAGUGAGACAUGCAAAAAUCUCUGCCUAUCACAGCAGUUCAUCAAAAGAUGAGGAAAAAACGAUCCCUGCAGGGAAAAGGAAGAAGCAGGAAUGAAGCAUCUCUGAUUGACUUCAGAGCACUAGGAGAGGCCAAGAAAGUCCUCCUGCCUGGGUUUUGCCAUUUCUAAAGUAGCCACUUGGUCACAAUGUACUAAUAUCCACAGUGUGUUGAAGUAAAUAUUUAUGACGGUUUGUAUGUGCUCAGCCCAGGGAGUGGCAGCAUUAGGUGUGGCCCUGUUGGAGUAGGUGUGUCACUGUGGGUGUGGGUUAUAAGACCUUUUAUCCUAGUUGCCUGGGGGUCAGUAUUCUGCUAGCAGCCUCCAGAUGAAGAUGUUGAACUCUCAGCUCCUGCACCAUGCUUGUCUGGAUGUUGCCAUGUUCCCGACUUCAUGAUGAUGGACUGAACCUCUGAACCUGUAAGCCAGCCCCAAUUAAAUGUCCUUAUAAGACUUACAUUGGUCAUGGUGUCUGGCCACAGCCAUAAUACCCUAAGACAAUAUUAAAAAUAAUAGUAACAA